UGAAUGUCCUUUUUGAGAUCCUGCAGCUGUUGACCCUGAGUGGGAAAAUGUCUUAUCCAGGUGUAGUCUUGUGCACACCUUUCCAGACCCAUAGCAGUGGUUUGGUUGCAGAGCUGUGAUUAUAUGGACAUUCUCCACACUUGGUAUACAGCAGUUCAGACAUGCAGCCCCAUUGGAAUGUGCUGAUAGAGAUAUACUUUUAAUUAUUCGGCUUCAUUAUAUUAUGAUUGGAUUUGAUGAUUCAUGUAUGGCCCUUCUUGAAAAAGAUCCUGG